rnacentral:tRNA from 5 species
GAAUGUGUAUACAAAGUAAGAUCUUUAAAGGAUAUAUCUAUAAUAAUAUCUCAUUUU